rnacentral:lncRNA from 1 species
GAGUAAACUGCUUCGUUGUCACUCCCGGCUCUGUUGAUUUUGACUGCUUAGAUUGUAGGAGUUUUCUGGGGCACAGCUUGACUCUCUCUCUGGUUUUCAAACUCAGUGUUCUGAAACAACUGGCACAAUGGAUGGUGUUGCACUGCCCCUGUGAUGGUAUAACCCAGCCUGCAAGGUUGCAGUGAUGUUGCAGCAGUCUGAGAGGUGACUUGGAAGUCUUCACUUCUUCUCCCAUCUGAAUUAUCCAGCUCACCUGGGGAUGUAUUUUGCAUCCUAAUGAAUUGUAGGCACUUGAAGCAAGAAGAAAACCUUGCUCUCUCCAGCUACAGGCUCAUGAGGGCUGAGUCACAGCAGAGCUGUCUUAGUGUGUGUGAACUAGCAAAUAUUUGGAGAGCUCCUGAGCUCUCACCAUCUGUACACAUGCAGAUACACAAGUAGAUGGAAAGCUUCCAAGGUAAGUUCCCUUUCAAUCCCCAUAAAAUUCCCUAGACCCAGCUAGCAAUUUGAGCUUGGUGCAAGAGGAACCAAGGAUUUCCUUCAAAUUCUCUACUGGGUUUAUGUGAAUCUGCUGCCUGGUAGAAGACUCAAAGAAUUUACCAAAAAAAAAAAAAUAAAAUGCAUUGGGUCAUGGGAUUUCCCAUUCUAAACAUAAUGGUAAACCCAGACUGACUCCAUUCUUUCUGUGCUGUCCAUUGUGCUUUGUCCCAAGUGGGAAACACAGUUUGGCAACACAGAUACAACAUACACUGUAAACAAUUACAAGAAUAAAGCUAAAUAUUAUGCAUAUUCAUUGCAUGCAAUCCUAACACAAACAUCUCUACUGAGGAGAAAAGAAAAGAAGAUAUUUUUAUUUUUCAACAGAGGAGAUGAUGGGUCUUUUUAACCCUUUAUUUUCUCAGUUGUACAAUUUUCAAUAGUAUGAAACAACAAUAUUUUACUUCAUAUGUAAUAAGCAAGUACUUCAUAAGUGGAGUUUUUUCUUUACUACAACUUAGCUGCAUGAUAAUUUAAUUUCUCAGAGCAGUUCACUCAUUUCAAGUUUCCAAAAGGCAAUGGUACAAUUGCUCACUAUUUUCACUUUAGCUUUUCUGUAACUUCCAAUUUUCUAAUCAAAUUAUCUGAUAUGGGUUUCAUUUUCUUUUAUUUAUGGAUGGGAAGGAUAUGUUCAUUUUCUACCUUAAAGUGUGAAGAAUUCUGGGUUUUAUUGUGAGUCCUGAAUAAACAAUGCAGGAAAAAACACACUUUCUCCAUGCAAAACACCUCUUACUUUAUCCAAAUUCUUAAUGUAACAUAGGACUAAUUUCCAAACUAUUAUGCUCUCAUUUACAUGCCUAUUUGUGAAAUGUAGCUAAGAGAAAAAUUAUUUUCUUGUAAAGGUCAGCUCUUCCUCCUCUGAGGAGGAAACCAAAAAUUCUUUGAAGUUCUCACCUAACAGGGCGAAUUUUGAGAAGGGUAAUAAAUCCAUACACAUAACCCUAAGGAAGUCAGCUCAACCUGACCCACAAAUUUCUUGGAACAGUUAUUUCUAGGUUGCAGGGUACCAAAAUAAGCCAUGAUAUUUUAUUCCACAGCCAUAAAAAAAAUCAUUUUUUUGAAUUUUUGAAGCAGUGGCUGAUUUUUGAAGCAGUGGCUUGGGCUGUGACUUAUAAUGAAGGGUAUUCUAGGUUAGAUUUCCUGAUAAUAAAACACAAUUCUGUGGCAUGCCUUUUUUUUUUUUUUUUUCCAUUAUGCCCUGUUUUCUUCUUAUUUGAAAAGCAAAAUAUGACAGUUUUUAUUUUUAUCAAAGCAUUGUUCUUGAUUAUUUUUUUUGUAUGAAACCUCUGUAUUCGACUGUGUGAAUAGUACUAAAAUUCAGCAGUCAGCAUCUGUUGUUCCUGUUCUUUUCUGGAUACUAAGCAGCACAGAGUAUAUGAGGAAAUCCUCAUCAACUUAUUUGUUAAAAUUAGUGGAUAUGCAUACUCAGAAUUCUGGUUAUUUAAAAUAUUAAAUCUGUGAACAAAAGUUUUUUCUGCAUGCACCACAGAGUACUCAAGUUUUGCUGUUGUGUACUUGCAAAAUUAUUUACAUUUGUGUGAAACAUUCACAUAUUAAUUAAUUAAUUAUUUUCUAUCUUGCUGAUGCAUUAAUAUUUACAGAUAAAAACUAUAAUUUCAGCUAUUAGUUGAUUAUCAUUAAUGCAUAGCUAUUAACAAUAGAUUACCAGAAGGAUAACCUUUAUUCACAAUAAAUAUGACACAACAACAGAUUGUAAAACAGUAAGUAAAGAUUGUAAAGUAGUAAGAGUAUAAAGGCAAGGCAAAACCCUAAAUACUUCAUUUAGAGCAGGACUAUAAAUACCCUGACAGACACGCCAUUUCUUAAUACGUGCAUGGGUGAUCUUUUGUGUCCUGCUUGCAGGUUAGAGAACAGCCUGGAACAUUACAGAGGCCAAACCAGAAAUUAUAUAAAUAAAUGCUUUAGCAGUAGCAGGAAAUUAUAUUUGAACAUGUGUUCUACCUUACCAGAAAUCAUUAGCGGCAGCAAACCGGACAUUUCACAGUGGAUAAGGAUCAGGCACCACAGACCUGUCUCAGAGCUAUGAGCUUGCACAUGAUAGGUCUACUGCACCUCCAAAAAGCAAGCUUGGGACUUGUUUUUUAUAUAGGUUUUGUAGAGGCUUAAAUACACCCAACAAAAUGUAACCCACAAUUAACUGUGGACUUUUCUUUUGUGUGCCUGUUCUACCACAAUUAUUUUGGAUCCUGGCCUGUCUUGGUCACACUGAGAGGCAUUAGGGGAUUAAAAAUUACUUGAAUUCCAGUUUUCAUUUACAGAAACAACAGAGCUGGUGUGGGAACAGCCCCAGGUCCAGAACGCAGCAUUGGUUCAGCCCCACCAGCAGAAGCUCUGAAGCAGCCAAGUGCCCUGUGGCCAUGAGUUGGACUGCAGGGAAGAUGAGCUCUCUAACUGCAGAUGCUCUGCAACCUCCCAAGCUCAGAGCUGCUGUCCUCUGACUUGUCUGGGAUGGGCUUCAUCCUAAUGACAUACAGAUAAUGAAAAAUCAACUAAAUAGUCAGAGUUAUGAUUUUUCAUUAAACUCAAUCGUUCCUUUUUAGCCAGCCCCCCUAGAGUACAUUACAGUGCUUCUGUGUGGGCUGAAAUUUUACAUUGCUGAGGUCAAAACAGGGUUUAUGCUAUUUUCCCAUCCACACCCUUCAGUGUUUGAAUUAAGUAGUUUUAAUUCACAGCAAUUCUUUUGCUAAUUACUCCAGGAGAAACUCUGGCUUAAUGCUGUCAGGAGCAGCGCCUAUACUGUCUCCACUGACAAAAGCAACACCUGAGUGAGGUAAGAAAUUACUGCAGCUGCAGUAACCAGGGUAAGGCUCAGCUGCUCCUGGGCUAACAUACCUGAGGAAAUUCAGAUUAAUCCAUGUCAAUCAGAAAAUGACAGCAGUCUCCCUUUCUGCAGUUUUAAUUGAGUCAGGUAGGCACAGUUUGGCAUUUAAAACAUCUUUCUAGCAUAUGUGUUUUGUGCCAUCUUUGAACAUGAGGAAAUACAGUUUUCCCCCAUAUAAAACAUUUUUUCCAUCUUUAAAAGAAUCCUAUAUGUUAAAUGUUUCAGAUUUGACAUGGAAAUCUAGCAUGAAAAUAGCCUUUUUGCAGAAGCAGGACAUAAUCUUCUUCUGGACAAAUUGAUUUUGUGUGAGAAAGUUGGAGACUGAGAACAUGCAGUAGGUUGUUUUUUUUUUCUGGCUGAUGCAUACAUUGGUUCAACAAUGUGCAGGCAUACAGUUGAUUUGAGUAAAAUGAAAAAGAUCUGUAAGUGUUUCAGAAGUUUUGCAUUCUUUAAAUACAGUGUUUGUUCUUUUGUAUGUAGCCUGUGAAAAUAAUUUCAUACUGAGCAGUGAUUUGUAUUUAGAGUAUACUUCUUUCUAUAACUUCAAUAUGCACUCCGUCUAAAAAUUAAUUUUACAAUUGUAUACAGGACUUUUCAGAAUAGUUGAAGCUAACAUGACACUUACUUGCAUUGGAGGCAUCCCCUGCAAACAUGCACAACAAGGCAGAACACUAAAGCUGGUGGAAAGAAAGACAUGUGUGUCCUGAGAAACACAUAUUAAAAUACAUAAUCUAAGAUGCUUAUGCUGCUCCAUUGACAUAAUGAAAUUAAUGUACCAGAAGCUGAUAUGAACAACAUAACCUGGUUGACUUCUGACAGGCAUCUUUAAAGCUUAGACUAGAUGCUGUCGAAGAUCAGUCAGGGUAAUGAAAUGGAUUUUCCUAUAGAUUUGUGUGUUUUGCUUCUUUAAGGCUCUGCCUUGAAUAACCCAGUUUUCCCUCACAGUCUCUCCAACAGCAGACAAGACACAGCAAAGCUGUUAGACGGUAUAUCAUUGCUGAUCAGCUGCAAGCUGCUGCUGCCAAAUGGGAUGCAUGAACUGAACUCUACCUGUCUUACUCUUACAGGAGGUUAAAGAUGCUCUUUUACACAGCUGCCAAUAUUUCUGAAAAGAUAAAGGAUUAAAAUGGCUGUGAGACAUCAUUAUUUUUUGAAUCUGUUUGAUUAAAAAAAAUCUCAUUGAUCUCAACAGGUCCAAAACCAGGCAAGUGGAUGGUAGGUAGAUAAAAAAAGAGGAAGUACAGCUGCAUAAAAUGGGAGGAAUAUAGAAAAUAUUUUAUGGCUAUCUACACACAAAAAGUCAGUAGCCCAGCCUGUUUGCCACUGCCUGAGUGGAGUCUGAGUUAUUGCUUAAAAAUGUGCAACUGUUUUGGAAUCAAAAUUACAGACAGACCACGUUUUUCUACAUAUAUUGAUAUCAAAUAUCACCAGGUUAGUAUACUGGAUCCUCAGGUUUCUAAAAGAGGAAAGUGGAAGUCAGUUUAAUUCCACUUCCCUAUACUGGAAAUUGUCCAUAUCUAAAGAUGGUCAACAUGAGACAAAUGAGUCUGAAUCAUUCCUUGCUUUCAUUUGCUGUCAUAAUCCUGGGCUUUUUUCUGCUGAGCCCUGGAGAUGUGCCAACUAUAUGGAAGACAGGUCAUGGCUUUGUCAGAGAGCAACAAGCCACCUGUAAGCUGCCCAUGACUCCACAUGGCUCACAGCUGCUGCCCCUCCCUACAAAUCAGUGGCUGGGCCCAGACCUAUGGUCAGCCACGCAGCUUCAUUGCUAAUAUGGUCCUCAGCACAUCGGGGGCACAUGGCCAUAUUAGUCUUUCAGGUACUGUUCAAGGAACAGGCUGGAGCAAAGACAGUCUCCAGGUGACAGUAGGGGCAAGGCAGAGAGAAGAGAAUUCAGCCAUACAGACACGAGUGUCUCAGAAAACAGCCCCCCUUAAUUGUUUAUGAAUUAGUAUGGACUUUGAUGCUAGAGCCAUGCCUGGUACUGACUCUGGUACUAAAAUCACACUAACCAUGUGGUUACUGUUAGGGUGGUCUUUAUCCUUGGGCCAGCUAUGAAUAUCCCCAUCUCAGAAGACAGCCAUUCUCACAUUGGCUGACCUGCCCACUGCCAUCAGCCAAAGCAGAGCCCAAAUGGUGCCCAUUUGUGCAGUCACACUGUCCAUGCUAUGGGGCUGGAGCACCUUUGAACGUUGCCUCUGAUUCCCUCAAGACAAAGAAAAUGUUCAGCUGCUGUGACUUUGUUCCAGCAAAUCGGUACAAAGGCAAAGAGUGAAUAUGAAUGUAAGACUGCCCGGUUAGGCAAAUAUAUAACAGAAUGAAAUUAAGACUAAAUGUGCAGCCUUAAUUUUAGCAUUCAGAAUUUUCAAAAUUUUUUAACUAUGAAACUUAUAAUUUUAAAAAAGUGGAUUUCUAAUACUAUAUCUCUGCAUAUAUGUGUACAUUUACUCUUGGGCUGCUGAAUUUUUUUUUCUCUGGAGAUAUUUUUAACAAGACAGAUUUCCUACCGAAUGUGCUGGUUAUCAAUAAGAAAACCAGAAAAGGAUUAUAGGGGGGAAAAAAGGGAGAGAAAGAAAUUAUAUAGCUUUCAGUAAAAAUGCUUAUAUAUUCUUUAUUCUUUUGCUAAUUGUGGUGUGGGACUUUACUUUUCCCAAAAGAAGGACCAUCCAUCUCCUGUUUAUCCUUUUUUAUUGGUCUUGUUCUCAUUGAAAUAUAUGGCUUUGCACUCUUUUAUUCCAGGAAAAAAGAUCAGCACAAAGAACUUUGAAAUGGAAAAAAAAAAAAAAAA